rnacentral:rRNA from 1 species
GCGGAAGGUCAUUACUGAGUGAGGGCCCUCUGGGUCCAACCUCCCACCCGUGUUUAUUAUACCUUGUUGCUUCGGUGCGCCCGCCUCACGGCCGCCGGGGGGCUUCUGCCCCCGGGUCCGCGCGCACCGGAGACACUAUUGAACUCUGUCUGAAGAUUGCAGUCUGAGCAUAAACUAAAUAAGUUAAAACUUUCAACAACGGAUCUCUUGGUUCCGGCAUCGAUGAAGAACGCAGCGAAAUGCGAUAACUAAUGUGAAUUGCAGAAUUCAGUGAAUCAUCGAGUCUUUGAACGCACAUUGCGCCCCCUGGUAUUCCGGGGGGCAUGCCUGUCCGAGCGUCAUUGCUGCCCUCAAGCACGGCUUGUGUGUUGGGCUCCGUCCCCCCGGGGACGGGUCCGAAAGGCAGCGGCGGCACCGAGUCCGGUCCUCGAGCGUAUGGGGCUUUGUCACCCGCUCUGUAGGCCCGGCCGGCGCCAGCCGACAACCAAUCAUCCUUUUUUCAGGUUGACCUCGGAUCAGGUAGGGAUACCCGCUGAACUUAAGCAUAUCAAUAAGCGGAGGAAAAGAAACCAACAGGGAUUACCUCAGUAACGGCGAGUGAAGCGGUAAGAGCUCAAAUUUGAAAGCUGGCUCCUUCGGGGUCCGCAUUGUAAUUUGCAGAGGAUGUUUCGGGAGCAGCCCCCAUCUAAGUGUCCUGGAACGGACCGUCAUAGAGGGUGAGAAUCCCGUAUGGGAUGGGGUGUCUGCGCCCAUGUGAAACU